AGCGUGCGCAGGCGGUUUUGUAAGACUGUCGUGAAAUCCCCCGGGCUCAACCUGGGGAAUGGCGAUGGUGACUGCAAGGCUAGAGUUUGGCAGAGGGGGGUAGAAUUCCACGUGUAGCAGUGAAAUGCGUAGAUAUGUGGAGGAACACCGAUGGCGAAGGCAGCCCCCUGGGUCAAAACUGACGCUCAUGCACGAAAGCGUGGGGAGCAAACAGGAUUAGAUACCCCAGU
rnacentral:rRNA from 1 species